AGGAGGAAGCCCCGCCCACAGGUGCCCCAUGGACAAGGGAGGAGGCCCUGCCCACAGGUGCCCCAUGGACAGGGAGGAGGCCCAGCCCACAGGUGCCCCAUGGACAGGGGAGGAGGGCUUUCUCAGCCCACAGGUGCCCCAUGGACAGGGGAGGAGGCCCCGCCCACAGGUGCCCCAUGGACAGGAGAGGAGGGCUUUCUCAGCCCACAGCGGCUCUGCGCCAGGCUCUAGGCCCCAGGAUGGAAAGCUGUGUAGGAGGGGUGAGUCCCUGCUGGAGCCAGUGGCAGUGCACGCUGCCCACUGUCCUGCAGAGCAAGCCUUCCGUGCCUGACACACAAGCGCUGAGCUCCCCCAAGACCGUCCGUGAAACCUCCGUGCACAGGCACACAUCCCGCGAGGCUCUGGCUGGUGCCUCUCUGGCCCUCCAGGGAAAGCAGAGGCCACACGGGACUGGACGCACUUCGAUCACCUCCACCAUCCAGCGCACAACACUGAUUCCUAAGCAAGACUGCUUAUAAAGGACGCAGUCACUCCACGAGCGUCCACCCACGCCCUUCGUACACAGGCAAAUCCGCGUUCACACGCCCAUACCCGCCAGUGCCCCUCCCACGAGCCUGGGCAGAGGAGGCCUCCAGCGUGCAAGAUCCGGGGGAACUCUGCAGCCAGCGGUCAGCUCACGUGUUCUCUGAGCAUGUGUGCGACCACACCUAUCUUCAGAGAAAACUGUGUGCACACACGUGCUGUGUGUGGUGUGCACGCGUGUGCUUGUUCAUAGUAUUGUGCAUAGUACUGCACUGUGCAUACAUACGUGUUUUCCAUGCCACGAGCACAUGUGUGUGCACGCACAUGUAUGUUUAUGUGGCUCUUCUGAGCCACAAAACAGUAAGCACUACCAUUGCUGAUAGACCAAGACUAAACCAAUCUUCCAAAAUUGGGCAAAUUAUAAACUUUUUUAAAGAACAGACCUGAAACUAUGUUGAUAUGGCCAAUCAGAAAGCAGGCUUUAAUAAGCCAUUUUGUGCUGGUAGUGGAUUCAGAGGUAAAUGGCAACGUUCUUUUUGCAUUCUCAUGUCUGACUUUAAAUAAAAUGACUCAUUAACAAAAACUGUGGGUAAGG
rnacentral:lncRNA from 1 species